UAGAUGGGACCCAUUGCUUA
rnacentral:piRNA from 1 species